rnacentral:rRNA from 1 species
UGAGGAAUAUUGGACAAUGGGCGCAAGCCUGAUCCAGCCAUGCCGCGUGCAGGAAGAAGCAUCUAUGGUGUGUAAACUGCUUUUGUACGGGAAGAAACACUCCUUCGUGAAGGAGCUUGACGGUACCGUAAGAAUAAGGAUCGGCUAACUCCGUGCCAGCAGCCGCGGUAAUACGGAGGAUCCAAGCGUUAUCCGGAAUCAUUGGGUUUAAAGGGUCCGUAGGCGGUUUAGUAAGUCAGUGGUGAAAGCCCACCGCUCAACGAUGGAACGGCCAUUGAUACUGCUAGAAUUGAAUUACAAGGAAGUAACUAGAAUAUGUAGUGUAGCGGUGAAAUGCUUAGAUAUUACAUGGAAUAACAAUUGCGAAGGCAGGUUACUACUUGUGGAUUGACGCUGAUGGACGAAAGCGUGGGGAGCGAACA